rnacentral:rRNA from 1 species
AGAGUUUGAUCAUGGCUCAGGACGAACGCUGGCGGCGUGCCUAAUACAUGCAAGUCGAGCGGAUUUACCCUUCGGGGUAAGUCAGCGGCGGACGGGUGAGUAACACGUAGGCAACCUGCCUGUAAGAUCGGGAUAACUACCGGAAACGGUAGCUAAGACCGGAUAAGUGAUUUCUUCGCAUGAAGAGAUCAAGAAACACGGGGCAACCUGUGGCUUACAGAUGGGCCUGCGGCGCAUUAGCUAGUUGGUGGGGUAACGGCUCACCAAGGCGACGAUGCGUAGCCGACCUGAGAGGGUGAUCGGCCACACUGGGACUGAGACACGGCCCAGACUCCUACGGGAGGCAGCAGUAGGGAAUCUUCCGCAAUGGACGCAAGUCUGACGGAGCAACGCCGCGUGAGUGAUGAAGGUUUUCGGAUCGUAAAGCUCUGUUGCCAAGGAAGAACGCCUCGGAGGGUAACUGCUCCGGGGGUGACGGUACUUGAGAAGAAAGCCCCGGCUAACUACGUGCCAGCAGCCGCGGUAAUACGUAGGGGGCAAGCGUUGUCCGGAAUUAUUGGGCGUAAAGCGCGCGCAUGCGGCCGCUUAAGUUUGGUGUUUAAGCCCGAAGCUCUCCCCGGUUCGCACCGAAAACUGGGCGGAUUGAGUGCAGGAGACGAAAGCAGAAUUCCACAGGUAAGAGAUCAUGCGAA